rnacentral:rRNA from 1 species
GAAGGUGUGCUGUGAGGCAUGCUGGAGGUAUCAGAAGUGCGAAUGCUGACAUAAGUAACGAUAAAGCGGGUGAAAAGCCCGCUCGCCGGAAGACCAAGGGUUCCUGUCCAACGUUAAUCGGGGCAGGGUGAGUCGACCCCUAAGGCGAGGCCGAAAGGCGUAGUCGAUGGGAAACAGGUUAAUAUUCCUGUACUUGGUGUUACUGCGAAGGGGGGACGGAGAAGGCUAUGUUGGCCGGGCGACGGUUGUCCCGGUUUAAGCGUGUAGGCUGGUUUUCCAGGCAAAUCCGGAAAAUCAAGGCUGAGGCGUGAUGACGAGGCACUACGGUGCUGAAGCAACAAAUGCCCUGCUUCCAGGAAAAGCCUCUAAGCAUCAGGUAACAUCAAAUCGUACCCCAAACCGACACAGGUGGUCAGGUAGAGAAUACCAAGGCGCUUGAGAGAACUCGGGUGAAGGAACUAGGCAAAAUGGUGCCGUAACUUCGGGAGAAGGCACGCUGAUAUGUAGGUGAAGUCCCUCGCGGAUGGAGCUGAAAUCAGUCGAAGAUACCAGCUGGCUGCAACUGUUUAUUAAAAACACAGCACUGUGCAAACACGAAAGUGGACGUAUACGGUGUGACGCCUGCCCGGUGC